CGGGAUUAUUUGGAUUAAUACUUUAUAACAGAUUUUACCGCAUGGUAAGAUUUUGAAAGAUUUAUCGCAGUAGGAUAGGCAUGCGUUAGAUUAGUUAGUUGGUAAGGUAACGGCUUACCAAGACGAUGAUCUUUAGGGGGCCUGAGAGGGUGAACCCCCACACUGGUACUGAGACACGGACCAGACUCCUACGGGAGGCAGCAGUGAGGAAUAUUGGACAAUGGGUGGAAGCCUGAUCCAGCCAUCCCGCGUGUAGGAUGACGGCCUUAUGGGUUGUAAACUACUUUUAUCUGGGGAUAAACCUAUCUACGUGUAGAUAGCUGAAGGUACCAGAAGAAUAAGCACCGGCUAACUAC
rnacentral:rRNA from 1 species